AUUGAACGCUGGCGGUAGGCCUUACACAUGCAAGUCGAACGAGUGGCGGACGGGUGAGUAAUGUAUGGGAAACUGCCUGGUGGAGGGGGAUAACUACUGGAAACAGUAGCUAAUACCGCAUACCAUCAGAUGUGCCCAGAUGGGAUUAGCUGGUUGGUGGGGUAACGGCUCACCAAGGCGACGAUCCCGAGCUGGUCUGAGAGGAUGACCAGCCACACUGGAACUGAGACACGGUCCAGACUCCUACGGGAGGCAGCAGUGGGGAAUAUUGCACAAUGGGCGCAAGCCUGAUGCAGCCAUGCCGCGUGUAUGAAGAAGGGCUUCGGGUUGUAAAGUACUUUCAGCGGGGAGGCGUUACCCGCAGAAGAAGCACCGGCUAACUCCGUGCCAGCAGCCGCGGUAAUAC
rnacentral:rRNA from 1 species